rnacentral:rRNA from 1 species
AUUGAACGCUAGCGGCAGGCCUAACACAUGCAAGUCGAACGAGUGGCGGACGGGUGAGUAAUGUCUGGGAAACUGCCUAAUGGAGGGGGAUAACUACUGGAAACGGUAGCUAAUACCGCAUACCAUCAGAUGUGCCCAGAUGGGAUUAGCUAGUUGGUGGGGUAACGGCUCACCAAGGCGACGAUCCGUAGCUGGUCUGAGAGGAUGACCAGCCAACCUGGGACUGAGACACGGUCCAGACUCCGACGGGAGGCAGCAGUGGGGAAUAUUGGACAAGGGGGGCAAGCCUGAUGCAGCCAUCCCGCGUGUAUGAUGAAGGCCUUCGGGUUGUAAAGUACUUUCGGCGGGGAGGCGUUACCCGCAGAAUAAGCACCGGCUAACUCCGUGCCAGCAGCCGCGGUAAUAC